rnacentral:rRNA from 1 species
GGACUACCGGGGUAUCUAAUCCCGUUUGCUCCCCUGGCUUUCGCGCCUCAGCGUCAGAAGAGGUCCAGUCGAGCGCUUUCGCCACCGGCGUUCCUUCCGAUAUCUACGCAUUUCACCGCUCCACCGGAAGUUCCCUCGACCCCUACCUCCCUCAAGACUCCCAGUAUCGGCGGCACUUCUACGGUUGAGCCGCAAGAUUUCACCACCGACUUGAGAACCCGCCUACGCGCCCUUUAAGCCCAGUGAUUCCGAACAACGUUUGCACGGUUCGUCUUACCGCGGCUGCUGGCAC